rnacentral:lncRNA from 1 species
GCUCUGUCACCCAGAUCGGAGUGCACUGGCAUGAUCACGACUCACUGCAGCCUUGAACUCCUGGGUUCAAGCAAUCCUCCAACCUCAGCCUCCCAAGUAGCUGGAACCACAGUUUUAAAGAACAAUGAAAACCUCCCAGAUUGACGCCACACACUAAUCACGGUUCUGAAUGAGACUUCAAAUGAUAUGGUAGAUGGAACACUACGUUCGUGAUGAAAGGCCUUUCUGACUUGCAUUCUGACUUAAUGAAUUUCUAGCUUUGUGACCUUGGACAGGUGACUUAUCCUUGAACCUGCUUGCUCUUAUGUAAAAGAGGGAUAAUAAUUGUCAUAUCUUCUUUGUCUUCCUGUCUGGGUUGUGGUCAGAAUAAUAUAAGAAAGUAAUUUGUACUUUGUACAAAUUUGUACAAGGUACAGUUUGUACAAAUAAUAAUUUGUACAAAUAAUUUGAAAGUAAUUUGUACUUUGUACAAAUUUGUACAAAGUACAAUUUGUGCAAAUAAUUUGUACAAAUAAUUUGUACAAAUAAAGCACCUUGCAAUCAUAAGGUAACAGCAGUAAGUAUCAGCAAUUAAAAUUUCAUACACUAGCUGGAUGCGGGGGCUCACGCCUACAAUCCCAGCACCUGGGGAGGCCAAGGCAGGUGGAUCACCUGAGGUCAGGAGUUCGAGACCUGCCUGGCCAACAUGGUGAAACCCCAUCUCUACUAAAGAAAAAAAUACAAAAAUUAGCUGAGCAUGGUGGCGCGCUGCUGUAAUCCCAGCUACUCGGGAGACUGAGGCCAAAGAAUCUCUUGAACUCGGGAGGUGGAGGUUGCAGUGAGCUGAGAUUGCACCACUGUACUCUGGCCUGGGUGACAGAGCGAGACUCUGUUUCAAAAAAUAAUAAUAAUAAUAAUUAAAAUUUCAUAUACUACAAUAGGGUGAAUGAAAUUGUUCCUGUUAUUUAUAUAACUUCUAACACUUAGCUUGCUAUCUUCAGCUUUUCCCUUGUCUUAUCUAAUGGUUUAUGAGGCAUUUACUCUUUUUCCAUUUCCAUCUGCUCUUAUGGUUGAAAGGCUAAAACUGACAACUUUCAGAUGUAUCACAGAGACAUAUCAAAAGAAUUCCAACAUGAAAGGUAUUGGGUUCAUGUGCAGAAGUAGUGAAUAAAUAAGCAGGGUUGGGUGAGGUUAAGAGAGUGCCACAUGAUCUAUGUGGUAAUAAAUAGGUGAAGUGCCCAGGAGAGAGAGAUGAGCAGAAGAGACCUCUCCAGUAGUAGACAUUGAAGAGGAGGAUUUUAGAAUUCGUCUCUUAAGACAUUCACUGCCAAGUUCCAACAGAACAUCAUGGACAAAACAUAUCUAAAUGAGAAGGAAACUUUGGGACAUUGAGGAUGGCUUGGAGUGGAAAUGACCUGGAAGGUUGCAGUGAUCCCAGGCAGGAGAGGACAAUGGCCGUGUCUGCAGUGGUACAGUCUGAGGGGGAAGGUUGCCGACUGACGUGUGGGGAACUGGGAGUGUGGCACUGGAGAAGACCAGUUGGAAAAUUGAUUGUCCUGGCUGUGACAGCUGAACCAUGAGGACUGUCUAAGAGCACUGAAACUGGGGAGAAAAGAAAGUAGCCUGGACAUGGUAAUGCUUAAAUGAAUACUUACAUGUGAUACCGUAAUUAUCAACAGAUUUAAAAUCUGUUGAAUAUACUGUUCAAGUUUAAAUCUGUUGAAUAUACUGUUCAAGUUUAUAGAAGCAAGAAACUUCCCCCCAUAUUUGUACUGUAUUAAUCUUUU